rnacentral:piRNA from 1 species
UGAAUAAAGUGAGCUCACUGUUGG